AUUGAACGCUGGCGGCGUGCCUAACACAUGCAAGUCGAGCGGUAACAGGUGUAGCAAUACAUGCUGACGAGCGGCGGACGGGUGAGUAACGCUUGGGAAUCUGCCUGUUAGUGGGGGACAACCCGGGGAAACGUCGGGCUAAUACCGCAUACGCACUACGGUGGAAAGCCGGGGACCGCAAGGCCUGGCGCUAACAGAUGAGCCCAAGUCGGAUUAGCUAGUUGGUAGGGUAACGGCCACCAAGGCGACGAUCCGUAACUGGUCUGAGGGGACGACCAGUCACACCGGAACUGAGACACGGUCCGGACUCCUACGGGAGGCAGCAGUGGGGAAUAUUGGACAAUGGGCGAAAGCCUGAUCCAGCGACGCCGCGUGGGUGAAGAAGGCCUGCGGGUUGUAAAGCCCUUUCAGUGGGGAAGAAAAGCCUCGACCUAACACGUCGGGGUCUUGACGUAACCCAUAGAAGAAGCACCGGCUAACUCUGUGCCAGCAGCAGCCGCGGU
rnacentral:rRNA from 1 species